rnacentral:lncRNA from 1 species
GGGCUCCUAAACUCUGUGACCUUUGGGAAGUUUUUUCUCUCCUUCAUUUAUAUUCCAUUUUUUUUGUUCUCUGGCCAGUUACCUCUGCUUAGUAUGUGUGCUAGUAAUGUGCCAAUUUCCGAAGUGCGCUCCUUUCGUUUAGUCUCUAACUCAGAAGAUACAAUAAUAUGAAGAAAGUGUAUGUAAUAAAAAGGAACACAUUUAUAACCUCUA